rnacentral:rRNA from 1 species
GAUGAACGCUGGCGGCGUGCCUAAUACAUGCAAGUCGAGCGGACGGAAGAGGAGCUUGCUUCUCUGAUGUUAGCGGCGGAAGGGUGAGUGACACGUGGAUGAACUAUCUAUUAGACUUGGGUAAAUUCGGGAAAACGGAGCUAAUAUAGGAUAAUUUUUUUAUCCGCAUGGUUGAAAAGUGGAAGAAGGUCUUGCUGGCACUUAUAGAUGGACCCGCGCUGCAUUCGCUAGUUGGUAAGGUAACGGCUUACCAAGGCUACGAUGCAUAGCCGACCUGAGGGGGUGUGCGCGCACACUGGAACUGAGACACGGUCCAGACUCCUACGGGAGGCAGCAGUAGGGAAUCGUCCGCAAUAGGCGAAAGCCGGACGGAGCAUCGCCUCGUGAGUCAGGAAGGUCUUCGGAUCCUAAAACGCUGUUAUCAGCUAAUAACAUAUGUGUAAGUAACUGGGCACAGCGUUACGUGUCCUAAUCAGAAAGCCCCGGCUAACUACGUG